CUGGCCUCCACUAGUUGGCUAUAAGAAGCUAGUUGUCUGUCCUUAGUGAAGUGGCACAAGCCAUGGAAAGGAGCAUUUUUUUUUUCUUUGCAGCGGGUGGGGGAAAUGAGAAUGGUCUGUUAAUGUGAUCAGCUGACAGAUGGUAACUCACAGGGGAUAAUUAACUGUUUGUUAGUACAGGAUGUUGAGGAUGCAGCAGUGCUGUCAGCAAAGAUGUCAGUGCAAGAAGAGGAUUUGGUGUGUGAUAUGGCUCAGAGAGGACCGGAGCACGAGCUGACUGCAAGGUCGGGGCUGUGCCCCUCUGCCUGCACGGUGCCUCUGUGCUGAUCACCCUGCUUGGUUGAAGGAGAUGCAAAGGGGGAGAAGCAGAGGGUUCUGUCUGUCAGCUGCUUUCAGAAAGGUCCUGCUGGCUCCUUGCCUCUGCUCGGAUCGCGGAGCUGUUGCUCUGAGCUGCAGAGAUGCUGUACCGAAGCUCUGACAUGCUGAGCCCUGUCCAAUUCCUCCAAAGCACGCUGUUCCAUGUACCUUUGAGAUGCCAGCUCCUCCAGGGUGAGGUGGGCUGUGCAGCAGAGCUGUCCCCGCUCACACUGUAAUCCUCAGCCCUCAGCUGUCAGCGUCUCGGAUGAGUUCUUGGAGGGUAUCCAGACAAACACAGGAGAGAUUUCAACUGCUGCGAUCCCCUGUCCUAUUUUAUCUCAUUUCUGACAGCCCAUGUCUGCUGAGGCUGGGAAGUGGUGAGGAGACGAGAGCAGCUUCCUGCAUUUGUGGAUGGAGAAGCACUCCUUCCUCUGACAGCCUGCUUGCUUUGCCUGUUUCCUGCAGUACUGAUGCACUGUCUCUUGCCUUCUGGACCAGCUGCAUCUUCAGGACAACGUCCCAGAUGGCUCUUUUAGGGAAAGAAAUCAGAGACUGAUUGGUGGCCAAAAAAAGUCUCUCAUCCAGUAUCAAAGCUUUAGCUGCACCUUAUGCUUCCCAAGGACGGCUUGGAAAGGGCACAGUGGAGCUGCUGCUGAUCCUCUUGCACCGGGCUCAGGCAAUGGAGCUGCUGUUAUCACCAGCGGUGCGAUGGGUAGCGUGGCAGAGCGCAGCGAUGUCAGCAUCUAUUGAAGUGUUGGUAAAAGGGCUUAACGUGGAGAAAAGGAAACCUUGCUCCUCCCGUGGCCUCGCUGAAGCAUUUUGUCUAAUUAACCUCAGAGGUGAUGGCUUACAGCAGGGCGGUGUGCUGACAAAGAGCCCAAAAAUAGGCUCUAUCCGAGCACGGCUCAAAGGCACGUGGCUGUCCCUUUGUAAAGCCUGGUGAGACCUGCUGCUGAGUGGGGCUGGAGCUGAACGUGGCUGAACUAUUAUUAUCUGCCUGGAAGUCGGACUGGAAUGGCAGGGGCUUUGUUCUGCAUCCUAUAUGGAUGUGGAUGCAUGCGCUCACACCAUGCGCACACACACAGCGCUGUGAAGGGGUCCUAUAUUACACCCAUGAACUCCCAGUUUGGGCAGGAUGCCGACCUCUUCCUUUUACCCAGAGGAGAUGCUGCCGAAUGGCUGCCUUUACCAACCCAGUUGUUCCUGCUGGUGGUUUGGGACUGGUGCAGCAGAGCCGGGCACCAACUGCAGCAGUGCCACCUCCUCCAUGUGCUGCAUGCUUAUGUGUGGGAGGUGUACGGAUCUCUUCUUCAGGUCCUAAGGGAAUUCUUUCAGUGAUCUCCUCUGGUUUUUUCCUCUUUCAGGGGUAUCUGGAGAAACCCUGUGUUUCCAGAUAAGGACGUGCUGGAUUUACAGUUGUCUACCACUGUUAAUGCAUCCUCGUCUGCGUGGUCGUGUGAAGGUAGGAUCCGCAGCAACCACAUCACCUGCUGUUCUCCUUUCCAUCCUCCACUCUUGGUUUCCAUGCUGCUCCAGGAUGUUCUUCCCACCCUGCGUUUUUGCAGUCAUUUAACUAAGCCUUUUUCAUCCAGAGGGGGAAAAUGGAGGCAGCUCUGCAGUUUACCAGGCAUCCCGCUGGGGAGCAGAGCCUUACGAGAGCAGCAUGGCAGUGGCUCUGGAUGGCAGCGGGUUUGGGGUUGGGAUUGGAGAACAGCAUCUCCUGGCCACCCUUCCUGCAAGGGGAAUGCAGAGCUGCUCACGUCCAGCAGGACGCGAGAAAAGGACAAGCUGUGUGCACAACGUGGUGAAGAUCAGUGGGUGGUUUUACCCAAAGAGGGCAGUGCCGUGCCACGAUCCUCCCCACUUCGUCUCUGUAAGGCGUGGAGGGCUCUGCAGAGCCGGGUGGAAACAGCCAACAUCGAGGAUUUCUUGAGGGGAAGAUCACGGCGUGAUGAGGCAGUUGUUUUUCGGAGGUGUAGCAAUUACUUCAAAGCAAAACAAAACCAAAGCAGAAAGAAUGACAGCAGAAAACCUUGCAAGUAUCUGUCACGCGAAUGCCUCUUCUGUCUCCUGACAAACUGCUUUUCUCACCAGCUUAGCCAAAGGUACACAGCCGUAGCACUGCCUGACUUAAAGCACUGCUCCUGCCUGUAUUCCUGCCCUCACUCACUGCAAGGACAGCUGUGAGCUCUCCUCCCUUCUGGACGGCAUCCCCCUUAGCUCCCCCGGGGCUGUUGGUCCCCAUUUCUGUCUCUAGCAUCCUUCCCAUCUCCCCACCCCAGGACUGCUUCUGCAGGGAGAUGCUGCUGUUGGAAAUUAGCCUUACCGUGGGACAAAGUGGGGGCUGGGUGGCUAUUUACCAGUUGGCGUGCUGCUGUCAGAAGUGGGGACUGGGCCCCUUCCUCUAUAGGCAGGAGAAGGGGUCCCACAGGCACUGCUGGGCGCUGUGAGUUGCAUGCUUGCCCUUUUGGGGUAUGUGGGACCAGGGAGGCUUUGCUGUCUGUGGGAGGAAAGACUUCAAAAUGAGCCAACGUUGCCAUUGCCAGAGAAACAGCUCUUGCCAUGCUGGGCAAUUGGCUGAAAGAGGUGAAUAGGGCUUUCCUGUAGGGGUUCAAAGCUCUAGCUCUGGUUAGAUAUAUUCACGUGGGCUCUUUCCCUUUCGAAGAAGGCAGAUGAAAAGGGCUCUGACUCCUUUAAAUAGGUCUGCGCUUCCUCCACCAGCCAGGAGCUCUGUUAGGACUGCACUGCUCCUUUCCACCCAGCAAGGACAGCUGCCAGCUUAACUCUUAGCCCUCACGUUAGCAGCAGAGGGGCUGAAAUGAAGAGUGUUUUCCCUCGGCAGCAGUCAAGAGGAAGAUGUUUGCUGCUGCUUGCUGCUUUGUAUUUAUUCUGCUAGCUGAAGCAUAGAAGCACGCGUGGGUACGAGGUACAGCUGGUGCUUGGAAGGCUCUGGGUUGCUGGAGGGGCACGGAGGGUCCUGGGAGCAUCGCCUCUGAGCAGGCUCCAGCUGGCUCUGUGCAUGGUGCCUGCGUGUCGGUGCUUACCCCACACCUCCUGCUGCCUUCCGUGGCUUUCGGGCACUGAUGUGAGCAAGUGCUGCUGCCAGCUCGGAGCUGCUGCUCUGGCUUAACGUGGGAAGGCAGGAGCAUCUGUCCCCCACUGCUUUCCUAUUAGCGGGCUGCUAUAAGGCAAAAAGCCAUCUGCCUGCAGAGGUUGGGGUUGGUGGUAUUUGCUAACCCAGGAAAAUGCUGCUCCAGGAAGGCAGUCAGGCAUGAAGGAUGAGAGAUCCUCUUCCUCGGAGUUCACUGAAAUAGGACUUUCCUGCAGGUUGCUUUCCCGUUGACCAGAGGGAGACCCAUGGCUCAUCCGUGCACCCUUCUUAGAGCUGCUGAAGAGACUCAGAAUGGGGUGAUGGCCCCAUGCUCCUUCCUGGGGUCUCCUCUUCCUCAAGGUUAGUGUUACCAGCUGGGGCCUUGUUUUCCCAGGCAGCCUCUAGUGCCAGGUUCAUGCUGAUCUUGCUAAGCACUUUUACUCCUGAGGACAUCUGCGCAAUACAGCUGGUUCAGAAAGGUUUCCCCAAAGCGCAGUCAUUUAUUGUGAGCCAGCAUUUGCAGAGUAAUCCCAUACAAGUCAUUAGCUGGGUCGCUGGAGCUUGCCCUGGGGUCUGUCCAGGGAAUCCCAGAGCUGCCUGGGGCUGAGCGGUACCUGCAGCUCCCAGACCUGCUCAGCUCUGUGCUGAGAGCCUCACCUGGCAGCUUUGGUGUGCUUCUUCCCAUGAUUUUAUCUAAUUUCUGCUGUCUCUCCUUUGUCAGAGCCAGCGCAGGCCAGCUAAUGUCCAGGUGCAAAGGGUGCACCGCCCUCUGCCAUGCCAUCUACCUGGUGAUAUCAAGGCCAAGAGCGUCACGUUCUGGAUGUUCAUAAAUUAUAAGGGAAACAGCUUUCUUCCUUCACCCCUUGAACUUUUAUUCAUUCCUCCAUUGUGUUAAUGAAUACGUGGUCUAAGCUGUAUGUCAGUCCCUGUUCUUGCUUGCUGUAGAUGAGGCUGGCUUGUCAGCGCUUGGCCUCCUUUUGCCAUCAGCUCGAGCGGAGCUGUUACACGUUAGUUCUCCAGCAGCAUUUUGAUUACCUCUCAUAACACAACGCUGUCAAUGCAGACUGACCAAUACAGCAAUUCAAUGAGCGUGUUGCUCUUGACAAGCCUUAUUUGCCCUGGAUAAGUCAGGUGGAAUAUCUUCAGCUGCAGGUAAUAGGCAGUAACAUCCUCUCUGUGUGUUAGCUGAAGGUUUCCUGGUCUCUGUUUCACCCGAAGGGGCUUCCUUGUCUCCACUGCAGCAGGAUGCAGAGCCUGAACUAACUCUGAGCAAGGAACUGUGGAGUCCAGAAACAGCAGCUCUGCUUUAAGUGAGGCUCUUGCCCUGGGUAAUCAUCCCAUCCUGAGAAGCACAACGUACUAUCUCAGGCUUCUUCCUAAGGUGUGUUGACCAACGUGCAUUUGAUGUCUUGGAGCUGCCCUGGCAGUGUGUGGGCCAUCAUCCUCAGUGGGGAACCAGAGACAGCAAUCACUGCUAAGUGCCAGAUGAUAGCGUGUUUUGUCGGCUGCUUUGAUGCAUUAUGUUUUCCACCAUCUGUAUUUGCACUGCGUUGGAGGCUUGCUUGCCCUGCAAGGGCUGGGCUGCGAUCCCUCCAGCACUGUGAGCAUCCAGGUGUGGUGUUUAGAGGGUGGAGAGGAGACGUCAAGCUUUCUUGCUUUGCUAUGCCCAUGCCUUGUCUCCCCACACUUGCUCACUUCUCCAAAUACUGCUGCUCUCAAUGAACUCUUAGCAGCUGUCAGUCCCCGUUCCUGAAGCGAUGUGCAGUUCUGAGCUCCCUACAGGUUGGGAUGGUCCUUGUGCUGGCUGCUCCCUGCUCCAAUCCUUGGCCUGUUGUGCUUUUUUAGCCUGCAAAGCCUCCUUCCCAAAUGCUUCUGAAGAAGCCAAAGCGGGAUCUGCUCUGGCAGAAAGAAGCCUGCAGACCUGGAUCCUCUCCCCUCAGCCACUGCAGCCCUGGAUGGUGUUUGUUGGCAGGCAUCGCUCCCAGUGCUCCUGCUCACCUCGUGCUCUCCCAGGAGAAACAAGCUUCACAUGAUGGCUUUGGAAAUAAGUCAGGGCAUGUGUCUUGGGCAGAACGAAAGGAGCUGGAAACCUGAGCUUUGUUUGCAUGCACGUUGUUCCUGGCUUUGGCAGGGAUGAGCCCUGACUCCGUGCAGCUGCCGUGACUGGUUUACUGGGCACAGCAUGAGGUCCCUCCUCCUUGAAGGACAUUCACUGUAUUUUGAAGCCACGACCGCCGGCAGAGCGACGGAUCCAAGACGGGAUCCAGACUGCUUUCUCUCUCAAUCCAGCACGCUGCCUCCCGCACUGCUUUCCCCUGGAGCAUCCUUGAGCCUGGCCAGAAGAAGUCAGAGCUCCUUUCCUCUCUGCUGCAGCCACCUGCCCUGACAAGUGGCCUGUCCUCGGGGAAGCGGCAUCGUUUCCUAUCAUUAGUGAUGCGGGGCACGGGAAGCUGUGUCCACUCAGCUUUGUCUCUUGCUGGGUGCACACUGGCCGAGGCCGGUGGCAGCUCAUGCGUCCCCUGGAGCUGCCUUGAAACCCAGUGAUGGGUAAAGAAACCCCAUCCAGCUGCUCUUCUCUGUGCCUGCGAGUGCCUCAGCACGGUGAAUAGCAACGGAAGAGCUCAGGAGAAACAAGCAUGAGUGGUAGAAAUAAGCAGCAUCAAGAGAUCCAGCAAGCGAAGGAUGAAAAAUCAGAGUAACGGCCAAGGAGACGACAUCCACUUGACUUCUCUUGCCCGUGGUGUGAGCAAUUAAUCCAGCUAAGGCAUGGCAGUGGAGUGAGGCCAGGAACAGCAGGAGGACGGCGCUGCACCGGCAGCAGCAAGCGGGACCGGACAUCUUCCUCUGCCACGCUGCCCCGACCUUUGUGGUGAGGUUGUGCAUGGAGAAAUGUGCUGAACCACCCCGUUGCCAUGGAAACCAAGGCCGAGAGGGGACCAGCCUGCUCCUGCUAAUUGCUGUGGCUUUGUGACCCCAUCCGUCCAUCCUGCUGCCUCCCGUGAGCCUGUCCGAAUGCACAGCGCUGGCCCCAUCCUGCAUCAUCCUGCCCUUUGGCUCCCAGCCCCAAUGCUGUGAGCAGGAUCUGGGGUUCCUCUUUCUCUCCUUUGUGUUGUCACAACCUGCACAAGAUCAGUUAAAAUCCGUGGCUUGAGCAUCCCUGCAGCCCAUCACCCCGUGCGUGCACAUCUGCCUGCAUGCUUGUUGCAGGAGCACGGUGGCGGUGCAGUGAUGCACCUCCCUUGCCCUGCAUCCCGGGCUGCCCUGCCUUUAUCUCGUCCAAUUAAAUAACUGCAGAUAGUGGGCUUAAUAAGGCCCUGCUAUGAAAGAUUACUGACGAUUUCUUUCCCAACGUGCGGUGAAUUAGGAGGCAGUGAGCAGGGAAAGGACUGCUGCUAAUUACAGUCCCCCAUGUCCCCUCUGCUGCCACCACUGCUGCUGGGCCCCUCGCUGCUCCCUGCACCUGAUUGCAUUUUGCUGCUGGUUGUGGCCAAUUUGCAGCUCUCAGCUGCUGCUGCUUCUCCCUUCCCCCCACGCCCCCUGCUCCUCUUCGAGUUUAUUAAUGAAAACCUUAUCUGUCGGUGCAGAUAAUGCCAGAAAUAAUUAGUGCACACGGAGGGCUGGCAGGCUGCUCUCUGCUCCCACCACCCACACCCUCUCCUCUCACUGUUUACAGUUUCCUGUGCUGCUUGGGGCUGCUUUUUGGGUUUUUAAGCCUCCUUGCUCUGUACAGAUUUAUUUGCUUCUCUUUCUCUCCAAGUUUUCCUUGCUCAGAAAGAGACAGACAGACCUGAGGCACAGAUGCAUCCUAAAGAGCUUGACCUUAAACACCUGGGCUGCAGGUGCCCUGACCUUAUGGCUGCUGGAAAUGGGGAGCUGCCCCCCAAUGCCCAAGAGCAGGGAUUGCAUUUGCUCCUGGCAUGCUCUGGUCAGGUCAUGGCCCUGCUCCUGCUGCGCCAGCGCCGUCCUCGCUUUGCUCGUGCUCCCUUUCAUUACACUUAGCAUCAUUGUCUCUUGGCUUAAAUCUUUCAGCCUGAUAAAGGACGACAGCGCUGCUCGAGUGCCUGGGAUGGCAUAAAUAAUUCCAGUGCUGAGAGAGAUUUACAGCUAUAUAAAUGUCAGGAGUGAGCCCAGUUUGUAUUAAUGGCCUUAUUAGUUACAUUGCUGUAAAAUACAGAUCCUCCAAUUGUUAAGCGGCCGUGGUUUUGGUCCACAGCAUUAAUCCAAUAAAUUUGGGCUUCUCAAUACGAAUCUUCGUCUCUGAACCCCACUGGAAAAUCCUUCAUGGUAUGUCAGAGAGCUUUAAAUGGCUGUGGCUGAGACAGAGGUGGGAAUAACAGAGCUGGUGGGAGCGCAGGUGUAAGGCAGUGCAGCAGCCCAUCCCCACCCAAGGGCAUGGGAAGUGUGGAGGUCCCUUGGCCGUGAGGAGCUGUGGGGUGGGAUUGGUGCUUUUGUCACCAGCUUGGAAACCACAGCCCAACCCAAGAGCUCCCAUGGCUCUGAGAUGUCCGUCCGUCCUUCCCACCCUGCUGCCAUCCCUCCCUGUUCCCUGGUGCAUCUCGUAUGAGGACGUUCUGCAACUCUGCAAACUUUCCACCAGCGACCUGCCAAGUGCAUGGGGAGGGAGAGGGGAAAGCACCACGAUAAUUGAAAAUAAAUGGUGCAUUAUAUGAAAUAAAUGUUCUGGUGCAG
ensembl:lncRNA